rnacentral:misc_RNA from 1 species
GAAAUGCGAUAAGUAGUGUGAAUUGCAGAAUUCAGUGAAUCAUCGAAUCUUUGAACGCACAUUGCGCCCCUUGGUAUUCCAUGGGGCAUGCCUGUUCGAGCGUCAUUUGUACCCUCAAGCUCUGCUUGGUGUUGGGUGUUUGUCCCGUCUCCGCGCGUGGACUCGCCCCAAAGUGAUUGGCAGCCGGCGUACUGGUCCCGGAGCGCAGCACACGUCGCGCAAACGAGUGCCUUGGUACGGCGGCGUCCAUAAGCCCCUUUCUCACGCUCUUGACCUCGGAUCAGGUAGGGAUACCCGCUGAACUUAAGC